rnacentral:lncRNA from 1 species
GAUGAUUUAGAAAAUGGUUCAAGAAGAGACAAUUUAAGAAUUAUUGGACUACCAGAAGACCAAGACAAAAGAAAAAGCCUGGACAUAAUACUAGAGGAAAUUAUCCAGGAAAACUGUCCCGAGAUCCUAGAACAAGAGGGGAAAGUGGAGAUUGAAAGAAUCCACAGAUCACCUCCUGUACUUAAUCCCCAACUGACAACACCAAGAAAUGUUAUAGCCAAAUUAAAAAACAAUCAGAUGAAAGAACAGGUAUUACAAGCUGCCAAGAAGAAGCCAUUCCGAUACCAUGGAAACACAGUGAGGAUAACACAGGAUCUGUCUACAUCCACACUGAAGGACCAAAAGGCAUGGAAUACAAUAUUCCGGAAAGCAAGGAAACUAGGCCUGCAGCCAAGAAUAAAAUACCCAUCAAAACUGACUAUAUUCUUACAGGGGAAAGUAUGGUCAUUUAACACAACAGAAGAGUUCCAAGCAUUUAUAAAUAAAAGACGAGACCAGAACAGAAAAUUUGAAGUCCAACCACAGAACUCAAGAGAAUCAUCAAAAGGGGAAUUGUGGAGUUCAGUCCAAGGAGUGCAAGAUAGUUUUAUCAGAAGAGGGCAGUUCCUAAAGGUUCCUUGCAAAAUUGGCAUCCUGUGAUUAAUUAUCUAAUGAUUCUAAUGGUAUGCAUUUUAGACUCCACAAUGAUCA